AAAAGAAACCAGCGUUGACUUUCUGUAAAAAGCAGUUUGUUUAUUUGACAAAAUGGUUGGAGCCAGGAAAUACUCAGGCUAAAAUGUUCCCAGACCAACUUGAUCUUUGAAGAUAAAUCAGAAGUUAUGGGUCCUGUGGUAUUUCCUUUGACAAAGCAGGACAGGACCACAAGCAAGUCAUACAAGUGAUUUCUAGAAGCUAGAAAAGGAAAGAAAACAGAUUCUAUUCCAGGACUUUGAAAAGGAAUGCAGCUCUGUCAACACCUUGAUGUUAGAACAUCUGACCUCUAGAACUGUAAGAGAAUAAAUUGAAGGGCCGG
rnacentral:lncRNA from 1 species